UUCCUACGGGAGGCUGCAGUGGGGAAUCUUGCGCAAUGGGCGAAAGCCUGACGCAGCGACGCCGCGUGGGGGAAGAAGGCCUUCGGGUUGUAAACCUCUUUCAGGUGGGACGAAGCCACUCGGGUGAACAGCCCAGAGGGUGACGGUACCACCAGAAGAAGCCCCGGCUAACUACGUGCCAGCAGCCGCGGUAAUACGUAGGGGGCAAGCGUUGUCCGGAUUUAUUGGGCGUAAAGAGCGUGUAGGCGGCCAGGUAGGUCGGUUGUGAAAACUGGAGGCUCAACCUUCAGACGUCGACCGAAACCAUCUGGCUAGAGUCCGGAAGAGGAGAAUGGAAUUCCUGGUGUAGCGGUGAAAUGCGCAGAUAUCAGGAAGAACACCCGUGGCGAAAGCGGUUCUCUGGGACGGUACUGACGCUGAGACGCGAAAGCGUGGGGAGCGAACAGGAUUAGAUACCCUUGUAGUCA
rnacentral:rRNA from 1 species